rnacentral:rRNA from 1 species
CCUACGGGUGGCAGCAGUGAGGAAUAUUGGUCAAUGGGCGCGAGCCUGAACCAGCCAAGUAGCGUGAAGGAUGACUGCCCUACGGGUUGUACACUUCUUUUAUAAAGGAAUAAAGUGAGGCAAGUGUGCCUUUUUGUAUGUACUUUAUGAAUAAGGAUCGGCUAACUCCGCGCCAGCAGCCGCGGUAAUACGGAGGAUCCGAUCGUUAUCCGGAUUUAUUGGGUUUAAAGUGAGCGUAGAUGGGUUGUUAAGUCAGUUGUGAAAGUUUGCGGCUCAACCUGAAAAUUGAAAUUGAUACUGGCAGUCUUGAGUACAGUUGAGGUAGGCGGAAUUCGUGGUGUAGCGGUGAAAUGCUUAGAUAUCACGAAGAACUCCGAUUGCGAAGGCAGCUUACUAAACUGCCACUGACAUUGAUGCUCGAAAGUGUGGGUAUCAAACAGGAUUAGAUACCCCAGUAGUC